rnacentral:rRNA from 1 species
CAGACCUCCGGUUUACCAGUUGUGCCGCCAGGCGCACCGCUGGGUAUCUGAGUCUGGAUUGGAUAAGCGCUGAAAGCAUCUAAGUGCGAAGCCAGCCGCAAGAUGAGAACUCCAUUGAGGGUCGUCAGAGACGAUGACGUUGAUAGGAUGCAGGUGUAAAGACAGCGAUGUCAAAGCCGAGCAUUACUAAUUGCCCGAACACUUUCUUUA